rnacentral:lncRNA from 1 species
GUUUGACUCAGUAGUUAUCAGAACUUGAAAAUUAUCUGAACCCCUUUUGAAAAUACUCAAGCUCAUACCCUAUUCCACAGCUAUUAAAUAAAAAUCUCAAAAGGGUGGGGCCAAGAAUGUUUAAGGUUCCUCAGGUGAUUCUACUGUGCAACCAGGGUUAAGUGAUCUAAAUGCUUAAUAUGUUUUUAAUCCAGAAACAAGUAUUAAGCACUGAUAAUGUUUACUACCAUCCAGUUUGUUUCUCAGAGGCAACUUCCUCCAACACUUUUUUCCUGUCUAUUGUCAGAAAGCAUAACAUGCACACAUAAGCAGACACCCAUAUUCACAUUUCCUUUUCUGUUGGUUUAUUUAAUAUAAAUAGAAGUAUAUUAUAACCAAUGUUUCAAC